UUACUAUGUUACGACUUAUUUUAUUAAAUAUAAAAGUGACGGGCAAUAUGUACAUAUUUUAAAACUAUAUUCAAAUAUAUAAAUUUCAUAUAUUUUACUAUUAAAUUCUAAAAAUUCUAAUAAUUUAAUAUAAAAAUUCUUAAUAUUUAUUAUUGUAACUCAUAAAUUUUAUAUACUAUAAUUUAAUAUUGAUCUGAAAUAAAUUAAAUAUAAUAAUUUUAAAAAAUUUUUAAUUAUUCUUAAAUUUUUUUAUAACGAACAUACAAAAAUAUUUUAUAAUAUAUAUUUAUCUUUUCGUGGAGUAUCAAUUACACUACAAGUUCCUCUAAAUAGAUUAAAAUACCGCCAUAGUUAUUAAUUUUCAAAUAAUAAAUUUUAAUA
rnacentral:rRNA from 1 species